UACGGGGGGGGCAAGCGUUGUUCGGAAUUACUGGGCGUAAAGGGUUCGUAGGUGGCUUGCUAAGUCAGACGUGAAAUCCCUCAGCUUAACUGGGGAACUGCGUCUGAGACUGGCAAGCUUGAGUGCAGGGGAGGAAUGCGGAAUUCCAGGUGUAGCGGUGAAAUGCGUAGAUAUCUGGAGGAACACCGGUGGCGAAGGCGGCGUUCUGGACUGCAACUGACACUGAGGAACGAAAGCGUGGGGAGCGAACAGG
rnacentral:rRNA from 1 species